rnacentral:rRNA from 1 species
GUAUUACUUUAAUACGCUCUACACCCUUUGUGACAUACCUUAACUGUUGCUUCGGCGGGCAGGAGGACAACCCCCCUCGGGGGGCGGUCCCCCUCCCGGCCGCGCCCUCACGGGCGUGGCGCCCGCCGGAGGAUACCAAAACUCUAUUUUAACGACGUUUCUUCUGAGUGGCACAAGCAAAUAAUUAAAACUUUUAACAACGGAUCUCUUGGUUCUGGCAUCGAUGAAGAACGCAGCGAAAUGCGAUAAGUAAUGUGAAUUGCAGAAUUCAGUGAAUCAUCGAAUCUUUGAACGCACAUUGCGCCCGCCAGCAUUCUGGCGGGCAUGCCUGUUCGAGCGUCAUUUCAACCCUCAAGCCCAGCUUGGUGUUGGGGCCCUACGGUCGACGUAGGCCCUUAAAGGUAGUGGCGGACCCUCCCGGAGCCUCCUUUGCGUAGUAACUUAACGUCUCGCACUGGGAUCCGGAGGGACUCUUGCCGUAAAACCCCCAAAACUUUUACAGGUUGACCUCGGAUCAGGUAGGAAUACCCGCUGAACUUAAGCAUAUCAAUAAGCGGAGGAAA